rnacentral:snRNA from 14 species
GGCUGCGAUAUCUGUCACCCUGUUGAUCACUGGGCUUGAUUCAGCUCAUCUGGCCGGCUGCGCACGUGUACGCCACACGCGUCCCUCCCCACACUGCAUGCUCGGCAAGAGGACAGCCUUCCCUGACACAGGCGCUCCCCUUCCUUACUCACGGGUAUACAGUAGCUGUGCUCCCCUGCUAGAACCUCCAAACAAGGACUUCCUAGAGAAGUCUUGGGCUUCCCUGGCCCAGUAGGGCACAGGAGGCCAGAGGA